rnacentral:rRNA from 1 species
CCUACGGGAGGCAGCAGUGGGGAAUAUUGCACAAUGGGGGAAACCCUGAUGCAGCCAUGCCGCGUGUGUGAAGAAGGCCUUCGGGUUGUAAAGCACUUUCAGUGGUGAGGAAAGGGUGAUAGUUAAUAGUUAUCACAGUUGACGUUAGCCACAGAAGAAGCACCGGCUAACUCCGUGCCAGCAGCCGCGGUAAU